rnacentral:rRNA from 1 species
CACGUAGGGCGCAAGCGUUGUCCGGAAUUAUUGGGCGUAAAGAGCUCGUAGGCGGUCUGUUACGUCUGCUGUGAAAACCCCGGGGCUCAACCCCGGGCCUGCAGUCGAUACGGGCAGACUAGAGUGUGGUAGGGGAGACUGGAAUUCCUGGUGUAGCGGUGAAAUGCGCAGAUAUCAGGAGGAACACCGGUGGCGAAGGCGGGUCUCUGGGCCAUAAACUGACGUGGAGGAGCGAAAGCGUGGGGAGCAAACAGG